GAUGAACGCUAGCUACAGGCUUAACACAUGCAAGUCGCGGGGCAGCAUGGGGGUUGCUUGCAAUCCCCGAUGGCGACCGGCGCACGGGUGAGUAACGCGUAUCCAACCUGCCCUUCACCACGGGAUAACCCGGCGAAAGUCGGACUAAUACCGUAUGUUGUCCAUUGACGGCAUCCGAUUUGGACGAAAGGGUUGGCGGGGUAGGAGGGGGUUGAGUCCGAUUAGCUGGACGGGGGGGUGACGGCGCACCGUGGCGACGAUCGGUAGGGGUACUGAGAGGAAGGUCCCCGACACUGGAACUGAGACACGGUCCAGACUCCUACGGGAGGUAGCAGUGAGGAAUAUUGGUCAAUGGGCGUAAGCCUGAACCAGCCAAGUAGCGUGCAGGAUGACGGCCCUAUGGGUUGUAAACUGCUUUUAUGCGGGGAUAAAGUGGCCCACGUGUGGGUUUUUGCAGGUACCGCAUGAAUAAGGACCGGCUAAUUCCGUG
rnacentral:rRNA from 1 species